UACGGGGGGGGCAAGCGGUGUUCGGAAUUACUGGGCGUAAAGGGCUCGUAGGUGGCCAACUAAGUCAGACGUGAAAUCCCUCGGCUUAACCGGGGAACUGCGUCUGAUACUGGAUGGCUUGAGUUUGGGAGAGGGAUGCGGAAUUCCAGGUGUAGCGGUGAAAUGCGUAGAUAUCUGGAGGAACACCGGUGGCGAAGGCGGCAUCCUGGACCGGUAUUGACGCUGAGGCGCGAAAGCUAGGGGAGCAAACGGG
rnacentral:rRNA from 1 species